ACUCAAAGGAAUAGACGGGGACCCACACAAGCAGUGGAUCAUGUUGCUUAAUUCGACAAUAAACGGGGAACCUUACCCGGGCUUGACAUCUCCGGAACCCCCCGGAAACGGGGGGGUGCCCGCAAGGGAGCCGGAAGACAGGCGCUGCAUGGUUGUCGUCAGCUCGUGCCUUGAGGUGUUCGGUUAAGUCCGUUAACGAGCGCAACCCAUGCCGUUGGUUACCAUGUCCAACGGGACUGCCCGGGUUAACCGGGAGGAAGGUGUGGAUGACGUCAAAUCAGCAUGGCCCUUAUGCCCGGGGCCGCAAACAUGAUACAAUGGCCGGCACAGAGGGCCGCGAAGGCGCGAGCCGGAGCCAAUCCCCAAAGCCGGUCCCAGUCCGGAUCGGGGUCUGCAACUCGACCCCGUGAAGUUGGAAUUGCUAGUAAUCGCGGAUCAGCCAUGCCGCGGUGAAUACGUUCCUGGGUCUUGUACACACCGCCCGU
rnacentral:rRNA from 1 species